AACUUUCAGCAACGGAUCUCUUGGCUCUCGCAUCGAUGAAGAACGCAGCGAAAUGCGAUAAGUAAUGUGAAUUGCAGAAUUCAGUGAAUCAUCGAAUCUUUGAACGCACCUUGCGCUCCUUGGUAUUCCGAGGAGCAUGCCUGUUUGAGUGUCAUUAAAUUCUCAACCUUCCAACUUU
rnacentral:rRNA from 1 species